ACGAGUGGCGGACGGGUGAGUAAUGUCUGGGAAACUGCCCGAUGGAGGGGGAUAACUACUGGAAACGGUAGCUAAUACCGCAUAACGUCGCAAGACCAAAGAGGGGGACCUUCGGGCCCCUUGCCCUCGGAUGUGCCCAGAUGGGAUUAGCUAGUAGGUGGGGUAACGGCUCACCUAGGCGACGAUCCCUAGCUGGUCUGAGAGGAUGACCAGCCACACUGGAACUGAGACACGGUCCAG
rnacentral:rRNA from 1 species